rnacentral:rRNA from 1 species
CCUACGGGAGGCAGCAGUGAGGAAUAUUGGUCAAUGGGCGCGAGCCUGAACCAGCCACGCCGCGUGAAGGAAGACUGCCCUAUGGGUUGUAAACUUCUUUUAUAAGGGAGUAAAGUGAGGCACGCGUGCCUUUUUGUACGUAUCUUAUGAAUAAGCAUCGGCUAACUCCGUGCCAGCAGCCGCGGUAAUACGGAGGAUCCGAGCGUUAUCCGGAUUUAUUGGGUUUAAAGGGAGCGUAGAUGGGAUGUUAAGUCAGUUGUGAAAGUUUGCGGCUCAACCGUAGAAGUGCAAUUGAUACUGGCAGCCUUGAGUGCAGGAGAGGUAGGCGGAAUUCGUGGUGUAGCGGUGAAAUGCAUAGAUAUCACGAAGAACUCCGGUUGCGAAGGCAGCCUACUGGACUGCCACUGACGUUGAUGCUCGAAAGUGUGGGUAUCAAACAGGAUUAGAUACCCUUGUAGUC